GCCAGGAACACCUGGAGGUGUGGAAACAUCUCUGAGUUUGGUGGUUGCGCUAAACAUCUGUGAAAGCAGGAUUAAUAAAUAAUCUUUUUAAAAAGGCUUUAAAUAAGGUUUUUGACUGUGAGGAGGUGGAUCAGUGUGACCACAGGCAGGGCAAAGAGGUCCAAUGUGGUCAAGAGUUGCCUAGUUCCUGCCCAGGAUGAGGAGCAGGUUGUGCCUCAGCACUGGGCUUGUUCCCACAGAGCAGACACAGGUGAGCCAAGAGCACCUGUAGAGGUGGAACCCUGAAAAUGGAGGAAAUAAGAGUUUAUUCUGGAUUUUUGGGCAUGGAAAGGAACAAGCGGGCAGGUAACUGUAGGGCAAUG
rnacentral:lncRNA from 1 species